rnacentral:rRNA from 1 species
UACGUAGGGUGCGAGCGUGUCCGGAAUUACUGGGCGUAAAGAGCUCGUAGGUGGUUUGUCGCGUUGUUCGUGAAAACCGGGGGCUUAACCCUCGGCGUGCGGGCGAUACGGGCAGACUGGAGUACUGCAGGGGGAGACUGGAAUUCCUGGUGUAGCGGUGGAAUGCGCAGAUAUCAGGAGGAACACCGGUGGCGAAGGCGGGUCUCUGGGCAGUAACUGACGCUGAGGAGCGAAAGCGUGGGGAGCGAACAGG